rnacentral:rRNA from 1 species
AACGGGGAGAGAUCAACAGGGAUUGCCCCAGUAACGGCGAGUGAAGCGGCAACAGCUCAAAUUUGAAAUCUGGCUCCUAGAGCCCGAGUUGUAAUUUGUAGAGGAUGCUUUUGAUGCGGUGCCUUCCGAGUUCCCUGGAACGGGACGCCAUAGAGGGUGAGAGCCCCGUCUGGUCGGAUGCCAAAUCUCUGUAAAGCUCCUUCGACGAGUCGAGUAGUUUGGGAAUGCUGCUCAAAAUGGGAGGUAUAUGUCUUCUAAAGCUAAAUACCGGCCAGAGACCGAUAGCGCACAAGUAGAGUGAUCGAAAGAUGAAAAGCACUUUGAAAAGAGGGUUAAAUAGUACGUGAAAUUGUUGAAAGGGAAGCGCCUAUGACCAGACUUGGGCCCGGUGAAUCAUCCAGCGUUCUCGCUGGUGCACUUUGCCGGGCACAGGCCAGCAUCAGUUUGUCUUGGGGGAAAAAGGCUUUGGGAACGUGGCUCCUUCGGGAGUGUUAUAGACCAUUGCAUAAUACCCUGAGAUGGACUGAGGUUCGCGCAUCUGCAAGGAUGCUGGCGUAAUGGUCAUCAGCGACCCGUCUUGAAACACGGACCAAGGAGUCGUCUUCGUAUGCGAGUGUUCGGGUGUAAAACCCCUACGCGUAAUGAAAGUGAACGCAGGUGAGAGCUUCGGCGCAUCAUCGACCGAUCCUGAUGUUCUCGGAUGGAUUUGAGUAAGAGCAUACGGGGCCGGACCCGAAAGAAGGUGAACUAUUCCUGUAUAGGGUGAAGCCAGAGGAAACUCUGGUGGAGGCUCGCAGCGGUUCUGACGUGCGAAUCGAUCGUCAAAUAUGGGAAUGGGGGCGAAAGACUAAUCGAACCUUCUAGUAGCUGGUUUCCGCCGAAUUUU